rnacentral:rRNA from 1 species
GAUGAACGCUGGCGGCGUGCCUAAUACAUGCAAGUAGAACGCUGAAGGAAGGAGCUUGCUCUUUCCGGAUGAGUUGCGAACGGGUGAGUAACGCGUAGGUAACCUGCCUGGUAGCGGGGGAUAACUAUUGGAAACGAUAGCUAAUACCGCAUAACAGUAGAUGUUGCUUGAUAUCUACUUAAAAGGUGCAAUUGCACCACUACCAGAUGGACCUGCGUUGUAUUAGCUAGUUGGUGAGGUAACGGCUCACCAAGGCGACGAUACAUAGCCGACCUGAGAGGGUGAUCGGCCACACUGGGACUGAGACACGGCCCAGACUCCUACGGGAGGCAGCAGUAGGGAAUCUUCGGCAAUGGACGGAAGUCUGGCCGAGCAACGCCGCGUGAGUGAAGAAGGUUUUCGGAUCGUAAAGCUCUGUUGUAAGAGAAGAACGAGUGUGAGAGUGGAAAGUUCACACUGUGACGGUAUCUUACCAGAAAGGGACGGCUAACUACGUG